CGCGCUCCGAUGCUCUAGAUUACGCGAAGACCUUACCAAGGCUUGACAUAUAGAGGAAAAGUGCAGAAAUGUACUCCCCGUAAGGUCUCUAUACAGGUGGUGCAUGGUUGUCGUCAGCUCGUGUCGUGAGAUGUUGGGUUAAGUCCCGCAACGAGCGCAACCCUCGUCCUAUGUUGCCAGCACGUUAAGGUGGGAACUCAUGGGAUACUGCCGGGGUCAACUCGGAGGAAGGUGGGGAUGACGUCAAAUCAUCAUGCCCCUUAUGUCUUGGGCUUCACGCAUGCUACAAUGGCCGGUACAGAGGGCAGCAAUACCGCAAGGUGGAGCGAAUCCCAGAAAGCCGGUCUCAGUUCGGAUUGAGGUCUGCAACUCGACCUCAUGAAGUCGGAGUCGCUAGUAAUCGCGAAUCAGCAACGUCGCGGUGAAUACGUUCCCGGGUCUUGUA
rnacentral:rRNA from 1 species